UAUAUACGGUUGUCGCAGGUUCUCCCGAGAUUCUUGUCGCGUGCAGCGGACUCCUGUCGUCCGCCCGUCGUUCUCUUUUCUCAGCGUAAUAGCGAUUUACGAUUUACUUGUCGCGCUACGCACCGACCGUGCGCGCGCGCGACCGAGGUUGUCGCACUUGUCGCUCGCGAGCGCUCGUCUUGUUCCCGCGUUUAGUUGUCUCGUUUUCGUUUGUCGUCGCGUGUCGGAAAACUGUGCUCACGACCAGAAGUCAAUUGCGUAAUCGCACGGGAUCUUCAACUCGGGGGAUGCUCGGCAGUGAUAGCGAGGAGAGAUAAUGCAAAAUAUCCGUACGCGUUGAAUAGAAGCAGGCUGUUUUCUUCCACACAUCGUGCAACAAAGGAUAAUAAGGAAACGAUAAUCUAUUAGCGGAACGAUUUGUCAUAUACGAGGAUCGGUGUGUGAAGAAUAUUAAUUGCAUCGACGAUUAUUCGCCAUUGAUUCGACGCGAAAGAAGAUGGACUGCAACGUGGAAAAAUUCUGAGAGACAAAUAUAGAAACAUCAGAUUAGAAUAUCAAUGAGACACAAUAUAUUUUUCGACUCGCUUCUGAAACGGAAAAGCGAUAAUCGAGGAAACUUUGUAGAUAUUCCAACAAAUAGCUCUUCGUGAACGAAUCUUUUCAAAGAGGUAUAAAAAGGCAGCUUCUAAAAAAUAUAUCCCCAGAAAAAAGGUUACCCGAAAGAGAAACAUCUACCUGAAGCACAUUCAAAGGGAUAUAUUUUCAGCUGGAUUAUUCCGUAAAAGGAAACACAUGUCGGAGAAAAAUUCUUUCAAAGAUUAUACUCGUUGAAGAGAAAUUUUCUGAGGAAUAUUUUUCAUGAAUGCGUAUUCGGCCCUCAAUGAAAAAUAUAAUGCUUAGAAAGAAAUGCUAUUAAUGAGAAACAUUAAAAGAUGUUUGUUCGUGAGAAGAUUCGCGACGAUUUCGAGGAAUUUUUCCGGAGACGUUUUAGAACUUCGAAGACACUGUCAAGGAACAGUCGGUGACGCGUUUAUAUCAAAGAAGAAGACAUACUUCCUCUCUCUUUCGUGGGCAACAAUCGCUUAUCCUCCUUGAUUCUUUUGAAGAGACGUUUCUGCAGAAAGAAAGAUCAUAGAGCAUUCAGCUUCCUUCUUCUUUCCUUCUCAAGCCUCGCGAUUGAUUGUUAUUUUCAGAGCCUACCGUUUUCCACUUUCCGGGUUCGGUGAAGAUCGAUAUCUCUUCGUCAUAGCAGGUAGACAAGAAUGGUACUUGAGGUGGUGCGCGUGCAAGCGCCGCGGGGCGUCGCGACGCUGGGUCGGCGAAUUAAGCUCCGCAACUUCGGCUUUACGUAAUGUCAAUCUGCCGCUAUUGCUGCUGCUGCUACCGACACCGUCGGGUGGGACUCGUCAAGGUUAUGGGCCGCGGAAAACGCGCUGCAGACCUGUAACAAGACGCCGCCGCCAAAGCCGCCCGUUGAUUCUACUAAUCUAGUGAGAAGCAAAGCGUUCCACCAGUCAAGCUGAACGAGCGGAAGCUUUUGAAGGGGACUAAGCAAGUGGAGAGACCGCGGUAAUCCGGUAAAUCGAUUUAACGGGAUUUCACGGAUCGAGGAAAAGGUGUAGAAAUAGGAGAAGAAAAAGGAAGAAAACUUGAAAGAUCAAAGAAAUUGUGGAAAAUUUGACGAGAAACUGAGAAACAGACAUAAAGACGAGGAAAACUUGAAAAGUUGAGCGAAACAUUAAACAAUUUGAAGAUUAUAACGGAGACCUGCGUAUUAAGAAAAAAAAAAUUGUGUAAUAUUCGUCAUUCAAAGUAAAGUUAAAAAAGUUAAAGAAAGAUUUCAAAACUAGCUAAAGUGAAGAAGUUAACGUUCGGUGAAAAGGUAUAUGCUGAUCAGUUUAAGUGAAUCGCAUUGGUUAAAUAACUUGUACAAAAGCGACACAGGUAGCUAGUUUUAGAAGAAGAGGCUACAAAGGCUAAAGGAAAGUUACAGGAGAAGCAGAACAAAUAUCAGACAGUUACCUUAGGAAGCUCUGAGAGGUAGGACGGAAACUUAAGGAAACGUCCGCGGAAGCCUGAGGAGGAAAGCCAAGAAAGAUACCAUCGGGCGUUCUCAAAGAAAACACCAUCGGCUUCAAGGCGACACUUGAGCCUUACUCGUGAAGGACGUUGCAAGUGUCUUUUCCUGUCGAGAUAUCAUCAGACACGUCUCACAUCGUCUUCCUGGAUCAGCGAUCGCGUCUGAACGGCCUUCGCAGAAACGCUACGGGAAUUCGCGAGAACGCGCGUUACUGAAGUUUCGGACGGCCGCGCGCGUGACGUAUGUACGUUCUCGUUCGCGUGUUUGUUGGUGUUGUUGUUAAUGAAAGUGUCCGGCCCGUUCACGCAGACUCGCCGCGGCUCUCGGCCCGCGCGGACGCGCAUUACCGAUUCUCGCGCAUCGAGUGUCCUCCACCGAGCUUGAAGUAGGCACUUUCGGAUUCUUAGAUCGUCGCAGAUUGGAAGAAGACAUCGAAUGCCCGGCCUUGUGACGCUCCGUAGGACUCGAGACUUUUGGACGCGGACAGGACAAUGAGCGUCAGAAUCGUUGUGAGCGUCACCGAGCUCACAAACAUGGACGCCAAGGAUCGUUACGUCGUCGAGGGCAUCGCACUUUCCACAGCCACCGAGGAUGUCGGGGAUGGGCCCCAAGGGCACGACAACGACACCGG